rnacentral:rRNA from 1 species
CUCGUAGGUGGUUUGUCGCGUCGUUUGUGGAAGUCCACGGCUUAACUGUGGGACUGCAGGCGAUACGGGCAUAACUUGAGUGCUGUAGGGGAGACUGGAAUUCCUGGUGUAGCGGUGAAAUGCGCAGAUAUCAGGAGGAACACCGAUGGCGAAGGCAGGUCUCUGGGCAGUAACUGACGCUGAGGAGCGAAAGCAUGGGGAGCGAACA